UGUGUGUGUGCGUGUGUACAUGUGUGUGUGUAAUCUUGCAUGCUACCUCUGCAAAAUAAUUGCCCUUCUGGGACAAAUAAAGUGUUACUACUACUACUAAUAGUA